rnacentral:rRNA from 1 species
AGACCCGAAACCCGGUGAUCUAGCCAUGGGCAGGUUGAAGGUUGGGUAACACUAACUGGAGGACCGAACCGACUAAUGUUGAAAAAUUAGCGGAUGACCUGUGGCUGGGGGUGAAAGGCCAAUCAAACCGGGAGAUAGCUGGUUCUCCCCGAAAGCUAUUUAGGUAGCGCCUCGUGAAUUCAUCUCCGGGGGUAGAGCACUGUUUCGGCUAGGGGGCCAUCCCGGCUUACCAACCCGAUGCAAACUGCGAAUACCGGAGAAUGUUAUCACGGGAGACACACGGCGGGUGCUAACGUCCGUCGUGAAGAGGGAAACAACCCAGACCGCCAGCUAAGGUCCCAAAGUCAUGGUUAAGUGGGAAACGAUGUGGGAAGGCCCAGACAGCCAGGAUGUUGGCUUAGAAGCAGCCAUCAUUUAAAGAAAGCGUAAUAGCUCACUGGUCGAGUCGGCCUGCGCGGAAGAUGUAACGGGGCUAAACCAUGCACCGAAGCUGCGGCAGCGACACUGUGUGUUGUUGGGUAGGGGAGCGUUCUGUAAGCCUGUGAAGGUGUGUCGUGAGGCAUGCUGGAGGUAUCAGAAGUGCGAAUGCUGACAUAAGUAACGAUAAAGCGGGUGAAAAGCCCGCUCGCCGGAAGACCAAGGGUUCCUGUCCAACGUUAAUCGGGGCAGGGUGAGUCGACCCCUAAGGCGAGGCCGAAAGGCGUAGUCGAUGGGAAACGGGUUAAUAUUCCCGUACUUGGUGUUACUGCGAAGGGGGGACGGAGAAGGCUAUGUUGGCCGGGCGACGGUUGUCCCGGUUUAAGCGUGUAGGUGUGUGUUCCAGGUAAAUCCGGUUCACUUUAACACUGAGGCGUGACGACGAGGCACUACGGUGCUGAAGCAACAAAUGCCCUGCUUCCAGGAAAAGCCUCUAAGCAUCAGGUAACAUCAAAUCGUACCCCAAACCGACACAGGUGGUCAGGUAGAGAAUACCAAGGCGCUUGAGAGAACUCGGGUGAAGGAACUAGGCAAAAUGGUGCCGUAACUUCGGGAGAAGGCACGCUGACACGUAGGUGAAGUGAUUUACUCAUGGAGCUGAAGUCAGUCGAAGAUACCAGCUGGCUGCAACUGUUUAUUAAAAACACAGCACUGUGCAAACACGAAAGUGGACGUAUACGGUGUGACGCCUGCCCGGUGCCGGAAGGUUAAUUGAUGGGGUCAGCGCAAGCGAAGCUCCUGAUCGAAGCCCCGGUAAACGGCGGCCGUAACUAUAACGGUCCUAAGGUAGCGAAAUUCCUUGUCGGGUAAGUUCCGACCUGCACGAAUGGCGUAAUGAUGGCCAGGCUGUCUCCACCCGAGACUCAGUGAAAUUGAACUCGCUGUGAAGAUGCAGUGUACCCGCGGCAAGACGGAAAGACCCCGUGAACCUUUACUAUAGCUUGACACUGAACAUUGAGCCUUGAUGUGUAGGAUAGGUGGGAGGCUUUGAAGUGUGGACGCCAGUCUGCAUGGAGCCGACCUUGAAAUACCACCCUUUAAUGUUUGAUGUUCUAACGUGGACCCGUUACCCGGGUUGCGGACAGUGUCUGGUGGGUAGUUUGACUGGGGCGGUCUCCUCCUAAAGAGUAACGGAGGAGCACGAAGGUUGGCUAAUCCUGGUCGGACAUCAGGAGGUUAGUGCAAUGGCAUAAGCCAGCUUGACUGCGAGCGUGACGGCGCGAGCAGGUGCGAAAGCAGGUCAUAGUGAUCCGGUGGUUCUGAAUGGAAGGGCCAUCGCUCAACGGAUAAAAGGUACUCCGGGGAUAACAGGCUGAUACCGCCCAAGAGUUCAUAUCGACGGCGGUGUUUGGCACCUCGAUGUCGGCUCAUCACAUCCUGGGGCUGAAGUAGGUCCCAAGGGUAUGGCUGUUCGCCAUUUAAAGUGGUACGCGAGCUGGGUUUAGAACGUCGUGAGACAGUUCGGUCCCUAUCUGCCGUGGGCGCUGGAGAACUGAGGGGGGCUGCUCCUAGUACGAGAGGACCGGAGUGGACGCAUCACUGGUGUUCGGGUUGUCAUGCCAAUGGCACUGCCCGGUAGCUAAAUGCGGAAGAGAUAAGUGC